UGCCGUUAAUGACUGCUGCUACUUUACAUUACUGUUAAAACACUGCAACAUGUUUUGUUUUCACAAGAUUAACAAUGCACUGUGUGUUUUGUCAGUCAGAUGAUUGUAGUAAUAAUCAGCAUCUAAUAAUAACAAUAGUAAUACAUUUGCCUUUCACUUUUUUACAGAGUGGGCGUGCAGCGGACAAGUUGGAUGCCACAGCUGCAAUACAUCAUCAUCUACCAACAUCACACAUACAAUACCCGAUGCCUUCCAGAAGCAGCGGGUUGUGCUCCUUCGUCAACAAUGGCAAAAGACCUCACUGCAGCGCUGUCACAUCAGAGAAGAAGAUAAAAGAACAGCUGGAGAGUCCACCGCGGGAGAAGACAGGACCUUUGGUUCUAUGCUGAAACUUUAAAGGUGCCUCUGAAUCCUGUGUAUGCCGCGUCCUCGACCGUCUGGGACCGGGGAGAGGCCGCGUGGACCCCCGCCAUCUCGUGC